UAAUGCAGUCGACGAACUCUGGUAUUGAUUGGUGCUUGCAUCAUGAUUUACAUUUGAGUGAGUGGCGAACUGGUGAGUAACACGUGGGAAACCUGCCCAGAAGCGGGGGAUAACACCUGGAAACAGAUGCUAAUACCGCAUAACAACUUGGACCGCAUGGUCCGAGUUUGAAAGAUGGCUUCGGCUAUCACUUUUGGAUGGUCCCGCGGCGUAUUAGCUAGAUGGUGGGGUAACGGCUCACCAUGGCAAUGAUACGUAGCCGACCUGAGAGGGUAAUCGGCCACAUUGGGACUGAGACACGGCCCAAACUCCUACGGGAGGCAGCAGUAGGGAAUCUUCCACAAUGGACGAAAGUCUGAUGGAGCAACGCCGCGUGAGUGAAGAAGGGUUUCGGCUCGUAAAACUCUGUUGUUAAAGAAGAACAUAUCUGAGAGUAACUGUUCAGGUAUUGACGGUAUUUAACCAGAAAGCCACGGCUAACUACGUGCCAGCAGCCGCGGUAAUACGUAGGUGGCAAGCGUUGUCCGGAUUUAUUGGGCGUAAAGCGAGCGCAGGCGGUUUUUUAAGUCUGAUGUGAAAGCCUUCGGCUCAACCGAAGAAGUGCAUCGGAAACUGGGAAACUUGAGUGCAGAAGAGGACAGUGGAACUCCAUGUGUAGCGGUGAAAUGCGUAGAUAUAUGGAAGAACACCAGUGGCGAAGGCGGCUGUCUGGUCUGUAACUGACGCUGAGGCUCGAAAGUAUGGGUAGCAAACAGGAUUAGAUACCCUGGUAGUCCAUACCGUAAACGAUGAAUGCUAAGUGUUGGAGGGUUUCCGCCCUUCAGUGCUGCAGCUAACGCAUUAAGCAUUCCGCCUGGGGAGUACGGCCGCAAGGCUGAAACUCAAAGGAAUUGACGGGGGCCCGCACAAGCGGUGGAGCAUGUGGUUUAAUUCGAAGCUACGCGAAGAACCUUACCAGGUCUUGACAUACUAUGCAAAUCUAAGAGAUUAGACGUUCCCUUCGGGGACAUGGAUACAGGUGGUGCAUGGUUGUCGUCAGCUCGUGUCGUGAGAUGUUGGGUUAAGUCCCGCAACGAGCGCAACCCUUAUUAUCAGUUGCCAGCAUUAAGUUGGGCACUCUGGUGAGACUGCCGGUGACAACCGGAGGAAAGGGGGG
rnacentral:rRNA from 1 species